GGUAUGCCAGGUGAGACGAUUCCCCUGCCCCGUAUGCCCUGGUGAAAACCUUCUUGCGGACAUAACCCAGCUCAAACAAUGCACGGCGAAUAUCAGGGACGUUCCAAUGAGUGACCAGUAAGUUUGCCAUAGCUAAGGCCAGGCUAGGCCUGCACCAGCUCCACAAGCGGCUGUGCAGCGAAUUCAUCAAACUUGCGUGGUUAGCGUGUUCCUGUUUGUCCUCUAGGCGGCAGGACAUCGCCAUUCGCUAGGUAGGACUGUUCGUGCACUUGUUUGCUGUAUUAAUAUCGGUUCAACAUUUCUCCCAUUGUAAGGCCCGCCCUAGAGGCGCGUAAAACUGAGUCACGUAUGUAUUCGCUGUAUUCGCGUAAAUGUAUGUUGCGUUUAAUUAUUGCCCUAAAGCACUGAUUGGGUCAGUAACCCAUGGGUAACCCAUGGGUAACCCAUCUUCAACCCCCGGUAGCCCUUUGGUAACCCCCUUGUAAGUUCCUACCCAGCGGGAGGGGUAACACGGCCCCAGGGUAAAACCCUCCGUUGCCCUGGACUAUGGACAUAUGGGCUACUCGUCUUAUAUGCUUCCCACAUCGUAAAUUCCGCUUAAGGAUACAUUUAAAAAUGUAAACGUUAGCAACUGUUGUAUUCCGCUUCUUAAAUCUGGGCCCAAACUGAUACAUUUUUUUGUCUAAAUUUUCCUUUCUCGCUUGGCGCGGUUGCUGGACAAGUUCGCUGGA
rnacentral:lncRNA from 1 species